ACCAAUAUUAUUUAAACCUAAUGUAAUCUGUUUUGGAAUUCUUAUUUGGAUUUCAUGAUGUGUAAACUAACAGUGUUGAUAAUUCAGGUGUCUUGAUAUAUUUUUUGUUGUUUGAGUUGUUUCCCUUGGUUUUCCGCAAUAUCACUAGUUUUGUCUAUGUUUAAGCGGCUUUGUUUGUAAAAAGUUCAAAGUGUUCUUAAUUUAUUGGAAAUAUGGAUUAUUGAUAGUUGAAGUUACAGCAGAGAGAGAGUUUGACAGUAUGCGUGUUUGAAGAAGAUAAUGCUAUUAUUGGUACAUUCAAUUCCACGAACUGAGUGUUGAUUUCCUCGAUUUCAUUGACUCGAUGAUUCAUUCUCUGAUUGAUGAUUGUUGAAUGUUGAUUGAAUGUUCUAAUGAUCAAUCAACUUAUUGAUUUACUGAUUGAUUGGACAUGUCAUGGAGCUUAAUAUAGAUGGAGAAGUAACUUAGACGUCAUACAGUUAAAUUCAGUAUUAUUGGGGUUGUUCUAACGCAAGUUAUCAUGUGUUUCGGGAUUUUCCAAGAUUUGAUGCAUCCUGGGUAAUAGUAGCCAAAAUACCGCCAUAUUGAAUUCCAAGAGGAACAUUGACAAAAAAAGACGAAGCAUUUUCUACUUACAUAAGAAGCAAUAGUUAUUUAUGUUAAAACGUACCAUACACACUUUUCCACACAGAUAUUUCUCAAAAAAAAAACAAUGUCGGCAAUGUAAACAGUAGUUCAUGGAUAUCGCCGAAGUUUAACGAGAGUGCGAGAAUCGGGGACUAGUGGGAAAACCCGAUUAUUACCGAAGCGCACUGUGGAUCUGAAUCUGACUAUCAACUAUUUUCUGAGCUUCCUAUCCAUUGUAUAUAUAUCUGUGGUAUCUGUGGACAUGUAAGACGAAUAUAUGUGAACUGUAAGAUGUUGAAAUGUGCAAAGUUGUUUGUUUAGAAGAGAAAAACACAAUUUUUGGAGAAACUUUUUGUUUGAAUGAUCAAGGUAUAAACACUUUUUGUAAAUGAACAUCAGGCUACCAUUUUCAUAGUAAUGGCAGGGCUUCCAUUAAUGGAAGUUUGGGAGUCAUUUCACUCCUUGAAUUUGGCUUGUGACUUCCAAAAUGUAAUGCUUUUUUCUUCUUUACCAAUAUUUUGUGACUUCCAAUGUCAAGACAUUUUGCAGUCUUUGACUUCCAAAUUUUGAAUCUUAAUGGAAGCCCUGAAUGCCAAUGGACCUACAUGUUUUACCUAAAUUGUAUUGGAAAUAUGUGAAAAACUUCCUUUUAAAAAGUUUCUAGCUGAAGUUAAGCAGAGAAAUGCAUUGGAUACCUCAGAAUAUUGCUAUGUUGUUAAAAAAUUUCCAAGCCUUAUGGUCACAUAUUCAAGGAAAAAUUCGAAGAAAGGAAAAUAGAUUGUCAGGUGUAUAGAUUUCCAGUCUGCUUAUCAUUUACAUACAAUCUGGAAAACUUCAGUAGUGUCACUGGGGUCAAAAUUAAUCCUGUCUAAUGGUAAUGUUGUAAAAAGUUCUAUUUUUUGUUUAAAGCAUAAAGUUUAAUGUAUAUAUGUAUUAUAAUAGAAAUUAGAUAUA